AUUUUCUUAAGCACAUACCUCCCAAAUUCCUAACCCUCAACUAGGUUUCAGUCCAUAAACUUACAGCAGCCGAACCACCACCAGAUUCGGUGGCCGACAGCGCCGACGACGGCCUGAACCUACCAACAGUGGAGAACUUUUCAGCCUUGAGAUCUCUUUUCAACUUCGAUUUCAACGAAGUGAGAGGAACCUUUGGCAUAUCUGCAAGAUAAGGCUCCCAUCGCUUUUUCUUUAAACAAAAUUGAUUUCUUUAUAUUUGAUUCGCCCUCUCUUUUAUUCGUUUUUCAUGCGAUAGAUCAAUCAAAAAAACAUAAACUAAAUCGGAAGAAAAAAACGAGAAUCACCUUGUGGAGACUUUUUUUUUAGAAAAGCUUUUUUGUAUUGAUUUUCCUUUUGUGUUUGUGUUCGCUCUUUUUUAUUUCCUGUUGUGUAUUCGUGAAAAAAAAUGCUUUCCUCUUCUUCUUCUUUUUUUACAAAGAUUAAAAGCUGGGCUUUUAUAGCCGAAAAAGGGAAUAAACCGAAAAAAUACAAUAUACUUGUUUCCAUUCGCUGCUGUUUUUGUUUCCUUCUUGCAGGUACAGAGUCUGUUGGCAUGUGUACCGGGUGCAGGCGUGGCGUACGAGGGCUGUGGAGGUAUGGGACUGCUAUAGUAGAGGUAUGGGGUUGUUUCUUGGUUGUGGCGCAAAACGAAAAGAGGGGGGACCUAAGGUUUCUAGAGCUGUUAAGGGAAUGGGCCUAUUGGGCUUGUUUCGAUUUGGGCUCAUGAUGGGUAUCGGGCUAGGGUUAAUGUAUUUGGGCUGCUUUGUACCAAAGACCUGAACUGUGGUAUACAUAUUUUUUUUGUAACACCCCUUACUCGUAUUCCGGCUCGGAACAGAGUAUGAGGUAUUACUAAGUUUUUUUAAAAAAAUUUCGACAGCAUUUCUGCUUAAUUUUGCUUAAACCUCCUGCAAAUUUAAAUCACAAUCCAAUAUAUAUAUAUCAACCAAACUCAUUUAUAAUAAUACUCACAAUUUAACUAUUAAUGAACACCACAUUUUAAAUCAAACCAUAACAUAUAUUUACAUGAUGAUUCCAUAUUUCAUAGGUCGUCUAUACAUGCCAUAAUUUCCGGAACGAUAGUAGCAAAAUACCCCAAGUGUGAAGGAUAGUGUGGAUGAUUGUCUGACUUCGUUCCAAAUUUUCGAGUUGUCGGAAGUCACUAUAAUCAAGGGAAAAAUAAAAUCGAGUAAGCAUAUAUCUUAGUAAGUAAACACAUGAUAAAUAAGUAAUUACUCACAUAACUACACCAAAAUAUAAACUUAUUCAUGAAUAACUUCAUUGUUUAGGCAAUUUCCAGCAAACUGUUUUUCUGCGUCAUAGUCGCUAAUUUAUUUUUAUCCGGAGCUACAGGGCUCCAAAUUGAGUUUCGUAAAUUUUCCCUGAAACUAGACUCAUAUACCAUUUCACCAUAAAAAUUUCAGAAUUUUUUACCCAGCCAAUUAGUACAGUUUAUUCAUUAAAACUUCCCCUGUUUCACUGCCCAACGGUUCUGACCCUUCCUCAAAAAAAUUCACUUAACUCUCUGUAAAAAAUUUUAAAAAUGGUUUCGCUUGUUUCUAUUAAAAAUAGAGUCAAUAAGGAAUCCAGGAAUAUAAAUUUCACACCAUAAUUAUUUUUGUACAAUUUUUGGUGAUUUUCCAAAGUUAGAACAAGGGAUCCCGAAAUCAAUCCAGCCCUGUUUCAGUAAAAUUCAGAUAUCUCCAAAAAUACAACUCUUUUGCUUAUUCUAUUUAUUUCAUAUGAAAAUAGACACAUUCAGCUUCAAUUUCAUAUAUUAUUCAGCUUCCCAUUCAUUUUCCACCAUUUAUGGUGAUUUUUCAAAGUUACCCAUCUGCUGUUGUUCAACACAGUUUAUAACUAAAUCGUUCCUUUUUUCGUUUUUGAUAUUUUCUCCCAUCUCAUACAUGGAUCGAUUUAGUAUCCAACUCAAUAUUUGCCCCAUAAAAAUUUCCACCAUAUGGAAAUAUUCACCUUCCACACUUUUUCAUUGAGCACUCGGAAUGUUAACCGUUAUUGGUGGAUCUCGCACUUAGCACCACCACUUAAUCGGGGAAUCAGCACUUAGCAACCCCUUGGGGGAAUCAGCACAUAGCAACCCCCUUUUUAUUUCAGAGAUACGGUGGAUAUCGCACUUAGCACCACCAAUGAACUGGGGAAUCAGCACUUAGCAACCCCUCGGGGGAAUCAGCACAUAGCAACCCCCUUUCACAUUUCAAAGAUACGGUGGAUAUCGCACAUAGCACCACCAAUGAAUCGGGGAACCAGCACACAGCAACCCCUUUAUGUACAACAUACUUCGGCUUAUUCCGAGUGUUCAACCCAUAAAUCAUAUAUUGCAACCCUUUACCACCUUUCCCGAUUUAACAACAUUUUUAGGAUAUGGCCAAACAUUUAUUUUAAUUCCAAAUAAAUCUCAACAUAUAUCAAUUAAUGUCAAAAUAAUACAUCAAGUCACGUGUUUACUUACCUCGGUGCAAAAUAUCGUAAUAUUGCACUUCACUCCACUAUCUUUUCUUUUCCUUGUUUGAGAUAAUCUUCACGUCUUUCUUGAUCUAUAAUAGCAAAUUUAACUCAUUUAAUGUUCACAUUCAUUAAAAUAGUCCACCACCCAACUUUUUGAAAAAUUACAAUUUUGCCUCCAAACUUUUGCAUAAUUACACUUUUGUCCCCAAGCUCGGAAAUUAAACUUCAUCACUUAUUCUUAGGUUUUAUGACAUGCUGAACAUUUUUCCCUUCUAUGGCAACAUCAAAUUCUCACUCUAACAUACACUUAUGAACAAUAAUUAUUUUUACCGAUUAUGCCUAUUUACCCGUUUUCGCUUGAAAUCGCUUAGCAAAAGUUGUUUAACAUAAUUUAUAGCUUCAUAUUCCACCAUAAAACAGCAAAAUAAACACAUUUCACCUAUGGGUAUUUUUCCAAAUAUGAGCCCUAACACGAAUUAUUGCUAGAAUAAGCUAAACCGAGUUACGAGGAUUCCAAAAAUGCGAAGAACAUUAAAAACGGGGCUAGGAUGCACUUACUAUGAGCUUGAGAAAGCAAAGAAACCUUAGCUAUGGCUUCCUUCAAAUUUCGGCAGCAACUAAUGAGGAAGAUGAUGAUUUUUGUCAUCUUUUUCCCAUUUUAUUUUAUUUUAUUACCAAAUGACUAAUAUGCCCCCACUUAAAAAAAAUCUAUUUCUCUCAUUUCUUAUGUCUAUUUUUGUCCAUCAACUAACUAAUGGUCUAAUUACCACAUAAAGACCUCCAAUUUAAAAUUUCAUAUCAAUUAGAUACUUCUACAUAUAGAACUCAACUUUUGCACUAUUUACAAUUUAGUCCUUUUGACUAAAUUGAGUGCCCAAACGUCGAAAUUUUCGAACGAAAUUUUUACGAAAAUUUUCCGUGAAAUUGUAGACCAUAAAAAUAUAAUAAUAACCAUAUUUUCCCUCGUCGAAUUUGUGGUCCCGAAACUACUAUUCCGACUAGGCCCAAAAUCGGGCUGUUACAACUCUCCCCCCUUAAGGAUUUUCGUCCCCGAAAAUCUUACCGGAAAAGAGAUUUGGGUACUGUUUCCUCAUAAUUUCCUCCGGUUCCCACGUAGCUUCCUCCAUCCCAUGUUUUUGCCACAGUACUUUUACUAAGGAUACACUUUUAUUCCUUAACUGCUUGACUUCCCGAGCCAAAAUCUUUAUUGGUUCUUCCUCAUAAGUCAUAUCUGGUCUGACCUCAAUCUCUGUAGGGGAAACUAUAUGUGAAGGAUCCGAACGGUAACGUCGCAACAUCGACACAUGAAACACAUUAUGUAUCUUUUCCAACUCCGGUGGUAAAGCUAACCGAUAUGCUACAGGGCCAACUCUCUCGGUAACUUCAUAUGGUCCAAUAAAUCGUGGACUUAGUUUGCCUUUACGACCAAAUCUCAGAAUCUUCUUCCAUGGAGACACCUUCAAGAACACCUUAUCACCUACUUGAAACUCAAUUUUUUUUCUCUUUAAAUCCGCAUACGACUUUUGCCGAUCUGAGGCAGCCUUUAAACAGUCACGAAUUAUUUUCACCUUUUCUUCAGUUUCUUUCACCAAGUCGACUCCAUGAAUCCGGUUCUCACCGAGCUCAGUCCAAUAUAAAGGAGUUCUACACUUACGCCCAUAUAAUGCUUCAUACGGUGCCAUUCGUAUACUUGACUGAUAGCUAUUGUUAUAAGCAAAUUCAACCAAUGGUAGAUAUUUCUCCCAACUGCCUUUCAAUUCUAAAAUACAACACCGGAGCAUAUCUUCAAGAAUUUGAAUCACUCUUUCCGAUUGCCCGUCAGUUUGCGGAUGAAACUCAGUACUGAAAUUCAAUUUUGUACCCAAGGCUUCCUGCAACUUUAUCCAAAACCUCGAAGUAAAUCUCGGAUCUCUAUCCGAUAUAAUAGAUUUAGGCACCCCAUGUAAUCUCACUAUUUCAGCAACAUAUAAUUCUGCCAACCUGUCAAGUGAGUAAUCAAUGCGUAUCGGAAUAAAAUGAGCCGACUUUGUCAAUCUAUCAACAAUUACCUAAAUAGCAUCUUUCUUCUUUGGAGUUAAAGGCAAUCCUGUCACAAAAUCCAUCGUAAUACUAUCCCACUUCCACUCUGGAAUCGUUAUCGGUUGAAGUAAACCCGAUGGUACUUGAUGCUCAGCCUUCACUUGUUGACAGAUUAAACACUUUGAUACAAAUUCCGAGAUAUCCUUUUUCAUGCCUGGCCACCAAUACAACUUCUUCAAAUCAUUAUACAUUUUCACACUACCCGGAUGAACUGACAAGUCACCACUAUGUGCCUCACAUAAAAUGGUCUGAAUUAACUCAUCAUUUCUUGGUACACAUACUCUAUCCCGGAACAUCAAGCAAUCAUCUGAACCAAUUUGAAAAUCUGAGUCAACACCUGCUUCACACUGAGCUCUCUUGGCUUGCAAUUUACUGUCAUUCUUUUGAGAUUCCCGAAUUUGCUGAAGAAAUAAUGGUCUAGCUCUCAAUUCAACCAACAUUGAGCCAUCAUCAGAUAAAGUUAACAUCGUACCCAUAGCUCUCAAAGCAAAUAAAGAUUUUCUGCUCAAGGCAUCAGCAACCACAUUAGCUUUCCCGGGGUGAUAAUCAAUCACUAGCUCAUAAUCUUUGAUUAGCUCGAGCCAUCUUCGUUGCCGCAAAUUCAAAUCUUUUUGGCUCAUCAAAUACUUCAAACUCUUAUGAUCAGUGAAGAUUCGGCACUUUUCACCAUACAAAUAAUGACGCCAAAUUUUUAAAGCAAAAACAAUGGCAGCCAAUUCUAAAUCAUGCGUCGGAUAAUUCUUCUCAUGCGAUUUCAAUUGUCUCGAAGCAUAAGCUAUUACUUUGCCCUCUUGCAUUAACACACACCCAAGACCAUUCAACGAUGCAUCACUGUAAAUUACAAACUCCUUCCCGGACUCAGGUUGCACCAACACUGGCGCCUCAGUCAAUAAUGCCUUCAACUUUUCAAAACUCUGUUGACAUUUAUUGGUCCAUUCAAACUUGACAUUCUUCUGCAGUAACUUAGUCAUAGGAGAAGCAAUCAUCGAAAAUCCCUUGACAAAGCGUCUGUAAUACCCAGCUAAGCCCAGAAAGCUUCUAACUUGUGUCACAUUCUUUGGUGGCUCCCAAUCAACAAUUGCUGAAAUUUUGCUUGGAUCAACCCGAAUACCUUCACUUGAAACUAUAUGUCCCAAGAAUCCAACCUCACGAAGCCAAAACUCACUUUUGCUGAAUUUAGCAUACAAUUUCUUUUCUCUCAGAAUCUGCAACACAGUUCUUAAAUGUUCUGCAUGCUCAGAUUCAUCCCGAGAAUAGAUUAAAAUAUCAUCUAUGAACACCACCACGAACUUAUCCAAGUACGGCCGAAAAAUUCGGUUCAUCAAGUCCAUAAAAAUAGCUGGAGCAUUUGUUAACCCAAAAGGCAUUACCAGAAAUUCAUAGUGUCCAUACCUUGUUCUAAAGGCGGUUUUCGGCACAUCAGACUCUUUAACUCUUAACUGAUAGUAACCAGACCUCAAAUCAAUCUUAGAAAACACUGUUGCCCCUUUUAAUUGAUCAAAUAAAUCAUCAAUUCUCGGCAAAGGAUACUUGUUCUUUAUAGUCACCUUGUUGAGCUGACGAUAGUCAAUACAAAGUCUCAUAGAGCCGUCCUUUUUUUUUCACAAAUAACACAGGAGCACCCCAAGGAGAAAAACUCGGUCUCACAAAUCCUUUAUCUGUCAACUCUUGUAACUGAGCUUUUAAUUCCUUCAACUCAGUCGGAGCCAUUCGAUACGGUGCAAUAGAAAUCGGUGCAGUACCAGGUAACAGAUCAAUAGAAAACUCAACUUCUCUAAUCGGAGGUAACCCAGGCAAUUCCUCUGGAAAUACAUCUGGAAAUUCACAAACUACCGGCACUGAUUCAAGCUUUGACCCAGUAAUAUCCGUGUUCAGCACAUAAGCAAGAUAAACUUCACAUCCCUUUCUCAAGUAUUUCUGAGCAGACAUGUGCGAAAUCACCAUAGGCAACUUAUUCGGCUCCUUUGUUUCAACCCGGAGAAUUUCACCGUUUUCACAAUUUAAUUCAAGAAUUUUCUGUCUACAAUUUACCUUGGCAUCAUGCAAUAUCAACCAAUCCAUCCCCAAAAUAACAUCAAACUCAUCAAAUGGUAACAACAUCAAAUUAGCCGGGAAACAGUGACCUUGAAUCAUCAGGGGACAAUUCUUGCAAACCUUAUCGACUAAGACAUAUUUGCCUAAAGGAUUUGAUACUUUAACUACAAAUUCAGUGUUUUCAACAGGCAAUUUCUUACUAGACACCAAAUUCAUGCAUAUAUAUGAAUGAGUAGAGCCGGGAUCAAUCAAAGUAAUAACAUCAAUAUCAUGAAGAGAAAAUGUACCAGUAAUCACAUCGGGAGAUGAGGCAUCCUCUCGAGCGCGUAUAGCAUAAGUCCUGGCAGGCGCUCUAGUUUUUGAUCCUCCAGCUGCAUAUUUUAUCACACUCUUACCACUGGCUUUGCUUCCCACAUUUCUCGGUGGUCUGCCUCUACUGACAACAUCACCCGAUCCAGCUCUUUGUAAUCUUUCUUCUUCUAUUCUCUCAGGGCAGUCUUUUACAUAAUGCUCUUGGGAACCACAUCUGAAACAAGCUCGUUUAAAUCCCCAACACUCACCAGUAUGUCGCCUGCCACACUGUUGACAUUCAGGUCUGGUGUUUCCUACAUUACCCACACUUGCCACUGAGGUAGCUCGAGUUGUAGUUCCGGAAUAUGACCUCCCUCGGUCUCUGCGUGAAUACCCAACUGAACCGGUUGGUCGUGGAUCCAUCCCUUUAAACUUCUUCGGGUGAGAUUGAAAUGUUCUGCCCAUUGACCUCUUCCUUACAUCUCGAGCUUCCAUCUCUGCCCUUCUCUUUUCUCUACUCAGCUCUUCAGCUUUGCAAGCACGAUCAACUAAUACCAGAAAUUCUUUUAACUCUAAAAUUCCAACAUGUAAUCUGAUGUCUUCAUUUAGCCCCUCUUCAAAUCUUUUACACAUAAUAGCCUCCGUAGGAACACAUUCCUGGGCAUAUUUACUAAGCCGGACAAACUCCCGUUCAUAUUCUGCUACUGACAUUCGGCCCUGUUUCAAUCCGAGAAACUCUUUGCGCUUCUGAUCAAUAAACCGUUGGCUUACAUAUUUCUUUCUGAAUUCUUCCUGAAAGAAGUCCCAAGUAACUCUUUCUUUUGGAACCACCGUUAUUAAUGUUUUCCACCAACGGUAUGCCGAAUCCUUCAAUAAAGACACAGCACAUUUCAAACAUUCCUCAGGAGUACAAGAUAAUUCAUCAAAUACCUGGAUAGUAUUUUCAAGCCAAAACUCGGCUUUUUCCGGAUCAUCAUCAACAUUGGCCCUGAAAUCUUCAGCCCCAUGCUUUCGAAUUCUAUCAACGGGUGGUUUACUUGAUCUCACCAAUUCAGCACUUCGUGGAGCUACGGGGACCGGCGGAGGAAUAGGAGGGGGUGGAGGAGGUGGAACAUUCGGAUUUACACGGACAUAUUCUGUAUACCAAUCACUCAUCAUUCGGAGGAAGGCUUCUCGAGCCUCAUCCUGUCCAUGUGUCUCAUGUCUACUCUCUUCAUGCGCGGUUCCUUGUGCGGGAACCGGCGUGUUACUUUCAACAUCAUCUGCCAUACUUCGAUUAGGAUCCAUUUACUAUAUAAAACAAAAUUUUAAAUUGUCAGAAAUCAUCACACUAUCACAAUAUAUUGAUGGCAUGUAUAGACUGACUUUCACACAUAUUUUAUUGGUCCGAGAACCGAAUAAACCGUAGCUCUGAUACCACUAAAAUGUAACACCCCUUACUCGUAUUCCGGCUCGGAACAGAGUAUGAGGUAUUACUAAGUUUUUUUAAAAAAAUUUCGACAGCAUUUCUGCUUAAUUUUGCUUAAACCUCCUGCAAAUUUAAAUCACAAUCCAAUAUAUAUAUAUCAACCAAACUCAUUUAUAAU
rnacentral:lncRNA from 1 species